rnacentral:rRNA from 1 species
GUGAGGAAUAUUGGUCAAUGGACGAGAGUCUGAACCAGCCAAGUCGCGUGAAGGAAGACGGUUCUAUGAAUUGUAAACUUCUUUUGUGCAGGAAUAAAGUGGGUUACGUGUAACCUUUUGUAUGUACUGUACGAAUAAGGAUCGGCUAACUCCGUGCCAGCAGCCGCGGUAAUACGGAGGAUCCGAGCGUUAUCCGGAUUUAUUGGGUUUAAAGGGUGCGUAGGUGGAUUGAUAAGUCAGCGGUGAAAGUUUGCAGCUUAACUGUAAAAUUGCCGUUGAAACUGUCGGUCUUGAGUGCAAAUGAGGUAGGCGGAAUGUGGUGUGUAGCGGUGAAAUGCUUAGAUAUAACACAGAACUCCGAUUGCGAAGGCAGCUUACUGGGAUGCAACUGACACUGAUGCACGAAAGCGUGGGUAUCAAACAGGAUUAGAAACCCCAGUAGUCC